UGUGUUUGUAUGAGUGUGUGUGUGUGUGUAUAUAAUACACACACUGUGCAUUAUUUGCACACACUGUGCAUUAUUUACACACACACACACUCAUACAAACACGCA